AUACUUACCUGGACGGGGUCAAUAGGCGAUCAAUAAGACCCAUGGCCUAGGUUGGUGACCUCCAUUGCACUUUGGAGGGGUGCCAAUCUAAGGUCGGCCCAAGUGGUCGAGCCUACGUCAUAAUUUGUUGCUGUGAGGGCCUGCGUUCGCGCGGCCCCUGCC
rnacentral:snRNA from 1 species